rnacentral:rRNA from 1 species
GCCAGACUCCUACGGGAGGCAGCAGUGGGGGAUAUUGCACAAUGGGGGGAACCCUGAUGCAGCGACGCCGCGUGGGUGAAGGAGUAUUUCGGUAUGUAAAGCCCUAUCGGCAGGGAAGAAGCAAGACGGUACCUGACUAAGAAGCCCCGGCUAACUACGUGCCAGCAGCCGCGGUAAUACGUAGGGGGCGAGCGUUAUCCGGAGUCACUGGGUGUAAAGGGAGCGUAGACGGCCAAGCAAGCCAGGGGUGAAAGCCCGGGGCCCAACCCCGGGACUGCCCUUGGAACUGCUUGGCUGGAGUGCGGGAGGGGCAGGCGGAAUUCCUGGUGUAGCGGUGAAAUGCGUAGAUAUCAGGAGGAACACCGGCGGCGAAGGCGGCCUGCUGGACCGCGACUGACGUUGAGGCUCGAAAGCAUGGGUAGCAAACAGGAUUAGAUACCCCAGUACU